ACUGUCAUUGCCCUUCCCCUCCUCUUCUUCUGGUGUUGGUACCUCUGCUGCCAGCACAAGACUGGACCUGUUUCUGUGCUCAGGGAACAAGGAGGGCUGCCAAGAGCUGAUGACUGCCAAGGGUAAAUGAUUACUAGGAAUGCAGUGAGGCUCGCUGCAAAUCCUAGGUCCUGUGCUACAGGGUAGAGACUGGAAGAUUCACAGGCAGUUUCAAUACUGGUGUGAUGUCCCCAGCACAACACCCACCUCGCUGUUGCUUUUAAGUAUAAAGUUACUGAAGCCCUGCAUCAUAUUUGGGACAAAAGACGAAGGAGAGAGUGGGAUGUCAGACCUCCAGCUGUUUACUGGACUGCGUGGCUACUCCACUUCUGAAAGCUAUGGCUAGUGAUGGGUGGAGUCCAAGAAGAUUCAUGGCCAAAAGACUGCAGGAUCCUGCAUGUUGCUACCCACAUUCAGCAGUCUGCUUCACAAAGCAGAAUAAGCACCUUCAAAGGACUGUAUUGAGAAAGCUGAAGAGAGAGAGAUACCAAAUGCAGACUGUAGAGCUGGUGACAUACUGUUCUUCCUUUGUGGCUGAGGAUAUUUGGUCCACCUUUGCAGGGGUGACUUUAGACAGCAAUGGAGCCUGGUGCAGAUAAGUAAACAUGGGACCCAGGGAAAAGGGAUUUAAAUGUCUCUUGGGAUGUGCUUCACCCUAUGAAAAGUUGAGCAGAGCAUAUUCCACAUAUGAGGAACAUCAGAAGUGGCUGCAGCUGGAGAUAGGGCAACAGAUGGGUAGACUAUGGAAGCUGGAUUCUAUUUUCCACUUAUUUACUCAACAAAUCUCUAGAUUUGUGUUUUCUAAAUUAAAACCUUGGUUUAUAUCUUUUUUUCCCCCCAGAGUAGGGCCUAAAUCAUUUGAAUAUCCCUUUUAAUCUGUUUCCUAUCAAUAAGUGCUUUCUUCGAUAUCGAAAGCCACCUUCCCCUCCCUUCCCUUCCCUUCCCUUCCCUUCCCUUCCCUUCCCUUCCCUUUCCCUUCCCUUUCCCUUUCCCUUUCCCUUUCCCUUUCCCUUUCCCUUUCCCUUUUUCAUGGCUCGUAAUAGUUUAGGCCUCAAACUAGGAAGCUGGACUCAGUGAACUAACAAGCCUUUCCACUCUAUGUAGAGAAAACCUACAAAAGGUCAUAUACCAAUAAGAGUAAGUUACUGAAGCAGAGAAGAUAGGGAGGUGAUGCUGUACAGCAAAGUCAUCGAAGAAAAGCAUCUCAUCCCCUAGUUUCCCAUUUCUAGGUAGCUGAACCAAUGCUGAGCAGAAAGGAUAAAACAUCAAAAAACAAAACCUCUGAAACCAAAUGGCAUCACUCUGUGAGAACCAAGUUUCUGAAAUGCAAAUCAAAUCUAAAUCUUAGCAUACUGCAGUGUCAUUCUCUUGUAACAGAGUUGGCCAAGGGAAGGAAUGGGUAUUUGGAAAAAGCCAAUGUGGCAUUUGUAGGUGUGUUUACUUUGGGAGGUGCCACUCUACCUGUAGCUGGUUUAUAAUAAGAGACCAGAGUUACAACUUGCUCAGUUGAAAGGAGCGCAGAGAGACCAGAGUUACAACUUGCUCAGUUGAAAGGAGCGCAGAGACCCCAAAGGGAAUCGCUCUUUGAAGACAUCCAAAGGAAAUAAGCAAUGUAACACACAAUUCAAAUCACUGAACCAAAAUGUACUAAUUAAGCAGAUGGAAGACUCCAAUGCUGUCCCAUAUAGUAAACAAAUCCAAAAUGUACACAAGUGUGAAUUCAGGGUCAGUGGUUGCCCAAAAAGAAAAAAAUAAUGCCUAAAAUGUAAGGCAGUUCUGUCCCUGGAAUUCAACACUUCAUUAAUGCUUUAAUAAGAAGCAAGCUGCGGGCCAGCUCUGGUGGUUGUUACGAACUGUGCCUCAGAAGCCCUAUUCCUGCAUUAAGAUUUCAGGAUGUCCCAGAUUUCCAUCACAAUUUCCUUUUGCAUCAAGGGGAAAGCAUUUUAGUCUGUGAGGAAAAGGCCAUCCAUUCCUCAUUUAACGUUUUUUUUAUCUACUUUGCCUUUUAAGUACCAAAGGUCACAGACUCAGGUAAGGUCACUAACUCCAUCUCUUCUUUCUCAAAGCCACCCUAAGAUUAGACUCAGUUCUGUCAUCACGCUCCUCUGGAAAAGCAAACAUUAAUGAUGUUAGUCAGCAAUAGUUAACAGUGCCUCAUUUAUUAUAUAUGAAAACUGAAAUUUUCAAGACAGUCUGUAGAAAACCGGUACUAAAUGCAGUUUUGUCUCGACAUUGCCACUGCACCGCCAUUUCCUGGCAUUGAACAUCCUGCCUCGAACAAAAGAAACCAUCUUCUCCACAGUUUAGAGGUAAACAACCUCAUGUGCCUGCGCAGGGGAAAAAAAAGGUGCAAAAAGGGCAGAAGAAGGCUUCUAGGGGAACAGCACGUCUGGCACGAACCGCACGUACACAUUUGCAAUCUGCGCAUGAGCAGAAGAACCCCAGAUGCCCCCAGCCCGUUUCUGGAAGGUUCCGGGAGGGCGGACUGCACACGACAGCUAAUCUGCAUGGGAAGUGAGGAAGCACCUCCCCCCUCAGAGGCGGGGCAGGAACCUACAAAAACUGCAAACUGUGUGAAUAAAGGGGGGAAGGAGCCCCGCGGAGCGGCUGCCUCUGUGCCAAACUCCACGCUCGUCGCGGCCGGGCCGUGGCCACCGCCGCUGGGGGGGGGCUUGCAACGACUGAAGAUCUCGGAGUCAGCGGAAUAUCAUCGGACUCGGAGUGGCGGUAGCUAGUUUGUUUUCUUCUCUUCCAACUUUUGCUAUCUUUUCCCCUUGCCCUUGUUCUUCUCUCCCCUUCGCCUCUUCUUCGCCUUUCCCCCACCUUUUCUCCCG